UGGCUCAGUUGGUAGAGCAUGGCACUUGUAAUGCCAGGGUUGCGGGUUCGAUUUACAC
rnacentral:tRNA from 1 species